rnacentral:rRNA from 1 species
UAGUCCGCGCCGUAAACUAUGAUAACUCGGUGCUGGCGAUAUAAUGUCAGUGCCCAAGCGAAAGUGAUAAGUUAUCCACCUGGGGAGUACGAUCGCAAGGUUGAAACUCAAAGGAAUUGACGGGGGCCCGCACAAGCGGUGGAGCAUGUGGUUUAAUUCGAUGAUACGCGAGGAACCUUACCUGGGCUUAAAUGCAACAUGACCGUCUCGGAAACGAGACUUUCUUCGGACAGGUUGCAAGGUGCUGCAUGGUUGUCGUCAGCUCGUGCUGUGAGGUGUCGGGUUAAGUCCCAUAACGAGCGCAACCCCUAUUCUUAGUUGCCAGCGGAUAAUGCCGGGGACUCUAGGAAAACUGCCCGCGCAAGCGGAGAGGAAGGUGGGGAUGACGUCAAAUCAUCACGGCCCUUAUGCUCUGGGCUACACACGUGCUACAAUGGCCGUGACAAAGAGUUGCUACUUUGUGAAAACAAGCUAAUCUCAUAAACGCGGCCUCAGUUCGGA